UACGUAGGUGGCAAGCGUUGUCCGGAUUUACUGGGCGUAAAGAGCGCGCAGGCGGUCGAAUAAGUCGAAUGUGAAAGCCCCCGGCUCAACUGGGGAGGGUCAUUUGAUACUGCUCGACUUGAAGGCAGGAGAGGGUAGUGGAAUUCCCGGUGUAGCGGUGAAAUGCGCAGAUAUCGGGAAGAACACCCGUGGCGAAGGCGGUUCUCUGGGACGGUACUGACGCUGAGACGCGAAAGCGUGGGGAGCGAACAGG
rnacentral:rRNA from 1 species